UCUUCCGUAGUAUAGUGGUCAGUAUAUGAGCUUGUCAUCUUUGGAUUCCGCUCGGGACCCGGGUUCAAUUCCCGGCGGGAGAG